rnacentral:RNase_P_RNA from 1 species
AGAGGGAAACGUGCAGCUGCGCGACCCCGUUUACGGGGAGUGAGGAAAGUCCGGACAUCAAAGGGCAGGAUGCCGGGUAAUACCCGGGCGCCGUGAGGCGAUGGAAAGUGCAACAGAAAAUAUUCCGCCCCCUCAUCUUUUGGUGAGGAGGUAAGGGUGAAAUGGCGAGGUAAGAGCUCACCGCAUUCUCCGUGAGGAGAAUGGCAGUGUAAACCGGGUAGGCUGCAAAGAUGCGUAUGGCAACAUACGCGCAAGAUAAAUAGCUGCUUAAACAGAAUCCGGCUUAUGUUUCCCUCUGCUG